AAAUUCACACAGCUUUUUCUGGUGUCUCAUUUGUCCUUCCUUAUUUACCUUAUUUCUAGUUUACUGAAGAAUUCUAUAGAGAUUUGUAAUUAAAGUUGCAUCCAUGUGGCACAGCUGAGAUUCAAACUCUGACUUCAAAUCCAGGAAUUUCAGACAUCAGCAAGCAGAUCAGGAGAUACUUUGCCGACAGACAAGGUCUACCAGAAAGACGCUUCUGAAGCCAUUCUUCCUUAUUUCUUCUAAUGCCGUUUCCAGGAGGGUAAAUGGUGAUAGAGAGACUCACGUGGGACCUGUGUGCUUGGUGGAGGGUCCUUUGUAGAAUGUAAUUGUAGCAUGUGACUGACUCAAUUGUCAGUGAUUUCUUCAAGGACUUGG
rnacentral:lncRNA from 1 species